rnacentral:lncRNA from 1 species
GGAGAGCGCCUCCGCGGUGGGACGGAGCCGGACUGGGCCGAGCGAGGGAGGCUCCUGAGCCUCGGAGGACCCCGGGGUUGGCUUUGGGAGCUGAAAGUUUCCUUGGACCCCUCGGAAGCCCCGUGACAUCAGAGGCCGGGCCUGGCAGGGGCAGGCAGGAAACGUGUCUGGAGGCUACUGCCCUCUCCGCGUGACCUUGGGCGAGCAGCCUCCUCCUGGGGCUCAGUGGGUGUGAUUUUGUAACAUUUCCCAGCGCUGCCACAGGCGCGUCUCGCCCUGUCCAACGCGGAGCCCGAAGAAUUACUAAGAAACCGAGGUCUGAAGGAGGGAAGAGGUGACGGGCUCGAGGCCACACGGUGGGCCAGGCUGGGCCCGGCUGCACGCCGGCUACCGGGGCCCAGCCCUCUGCACGCCUCCCGCAGCCUCAGUUUCCCUGUCCGUGGUACUGAGGAUGCUCGGGCCUAGAAGUUCAGGGCUGGAGGCCCAGGGACCGUCGAGGGAGGGGCAUCAUCCCCGCCAUGGGGCCGCCGCAACUGCCCAGAGCACAGGCCAAAGACCCCUGAGGCCCCCUCCUCCUUCAGAGCAUGCACGUCGCAAAUUCUCAAUGACUGUUUGGAGGAAUGAAUAAAUGAAUUGUGAACAAAUGGUCUGAAGAUUCCAGAGGCUUCUGCCAUCACUCUGUGUGACUUCAACAUUCUACCUGCAUGACCUAUGCAGCACCUGGCCGCUGUUACCUUGCCACCCUCACUGACAUCUUCUCUGCAUAGGCCUUCCACCAUGCCCUGUACUUUCUCCCCACUAGAAAUAGCCCUGGCUCUGAAAUGUGUUUUAAUCAUCCCACUUUGGGUCCACCAGUUCCUAGCCUUUGAGCUUAGGCCUCUCCUCCAGGACCCUCCCUGGCUACGAUUUCCCAACCCCUCUCGACCUUCCAUUCACUGACCUUGCCACUUUCUUGCCUCUUGUCUGCACCUCUCCCCAUCCCUAGUGUGGAUUCCAUCCCCUUGUGAACGCUGCCACCCGUCCUGGCAGAGACUCAGUACUUCCACUCUCUGAAUGCAUUUCUUCUUCCUAGGCACACCAGAAGACUACAUUUCCUAGCCCCCCACCCCCUUGCAGUGUCUGGGACCAUGUGACUCCUUAAUUAGGUCACUUCUCUCUCCUGGGAGGCCCUCUCUGCCCUCUCUAAGUCUAACUAGUGGCAAAGGAUCUAAGGGAAGAAACCUGGCAGAGUUACUAGUCCCAAGAAGCCUGGGUCCCUGAAUCACCACAUGGAAGUCUACGCGCCCACCACCUGAAUGGACUAAGGAAGCUGCAGGAUGAAGACAACAGCAUCACAAGGAGGAAGCCAGGAUCCCUGUGUUACCACAAGGAGGAGAGAUGCCUAACCAAGACCGUCUGCAAGGAUUUUGUGUGAGCCAGAAGCAGAGCUGUAUGGUGUUCAGCCACUGAGAUUUGAGGGCUGUUUGUUACAGCAGUUGACCUAUCCUGACUGACACAUCACAUCAUUCCUUUCCCCACCAUGUGUCUAACAUGCUACCAAAUUGAAUUUUAAGUAAAUUAGUACUUAUAAAUUAAGUACAAAUGCUUUUCAAAUUCACAUGAAUCUUUGGUAAAUAAAACUGGUUGUAAAAUUA